rnacentral:rRNA from 1 species
UACGGAGGGUGCAAGCGUUAUCCGGAUUCACUGGGUUUAAAGGGUGCGUAGGCGGGCAGGUAAGUCAGUGGUGAAAUCUCCGAGCUUAACUCGGAAACUGCCGUUGAUACUAUCUGUCUUGAAUACUCGGGAGGUGAGCGGAAUAUGUCAUGUAGCGGUGAAAUGCUUAGAUAUGACAUAGAACACCAAUUGCGAAGGCAGCUCACUACAGAGUCAUUGAAGCUGAGGCACGCAAGCGUGGGGAUCACACAGGAGGCGAUACCCCGGUAGUCC